rnacentral:rRNA from 1 species
UACGUAGGGUCCAAGCGUUGUCCGGAUUUACUGGGUUUAAAGGGUGCGUAGGCGGCUGUUUAAGUCGGCAAUGAAAUGCAGGGGCUCAACCUUAUGCGCUGUUGCCGAAACUGGACGGCUAGAGAGUAGAAGAGGCAGCUGGAAUAAGUGGUGUAGCGGUGAAAUGCGUAGAGAUCACUUAGAACACCGAUUGCGAAGGCAGGUUGCUGGUCUACUUCUGACGCUGAGGCACGAAGGCAUGGGGAUCAAACAGG